GUUCCUCUAUCACCUGAAGCUGCUGAACAUUGGGAUGGAGGAUGAUCUGGAAGUGAGUGAGCCUGGAGGUGGGACCAAGGAGCAGGAUCCUGAGGGAAAUCGGGUCAACUUCCAGAAAUGGUAUGAGAAAUUAAAAGUCAUCAGGAGGAUCCAGCUGCUCCAGCAGGAUGCAAAUGCGUAUGACCUGGAGCCUGAAGAGUGAUUUGGGGCCUGGUUCCAGGCCAUGGAGCCCCUCAGUGUCCAUGAGAGCUACUGGGUCUCCUGCUAGCUGGAGCUUGCACACCAGAAGGCGAGCAAAAUGCGGCUCUUCAAGAGAAAGAGGAACCGGACAUCCUCCAGUUUAGGGCCGACCACCACGCCCUUGGCGAUGAGCCGUCACACUCUGGAGACCACAAGUGCAG